rnacentral:rRNA from 1 species
AUUGAACGCUGGCGGCAUGCCUUACACAUGCAAGUCGAACGGUAACAGGUCUUUCGGGAUGCUGACGAGUGGCGAACGGGUGAGUAAUACAUCGGAACGUGCCUAGUAGUGGGGGAUAACUACUCGAAAGAGUGGCUAAUACCGCAUGAGAUCUAUGGAUGAAAGCAGGGGACCUUUGGGCCUUGUGCUACUAGAGCGGCCGAUGGCAGAUUAGGUAGUUGGUGGGAUAAAAGCUUACCAAGCCUACGAUCUGUAGCUGGCCUGAGAGGACGAUCAGCCACACUGGGACUGAGACACGGCCCAGACUCCUACGGGAGGCAGCAGUGGGGAAUUUUGGACAAUGGGCGCAAGCCUGAUCCAGCAAUGCCGCGUGCAGGAUGAAGGCCUUCGGGUUGUAAACUGCUUUUGUACGGAACGAAAAGUCUUGGGUUAAUACCCUGGGAUCAUGACGGUACCGUAAGAAUAAGCACCGGCUAACUACGUG